rnacentral:rRNA from 1 species
GAAGGUGGGCUUAGAAGCAGCCAUCCUUGAAAGAGUUCGUAACAGAUCACUGGUCUAGCUUGCGGGCCGGGAAAAGGGACGGGGCUCAAACUGAUUACCGAUACUUCAGACCAUCGAAAGAUGAUGUGGUAACGCGGCGUCGUGCUUGGGUGGAAGGUAGGCUUUGAGGUCUACUGGACCGUGUACGAAUGAGAGUCUUGGGAAGAGUAGCAGCACAGUGUGGUGAGAAUCCGCACCGCCUUAUAAACCAGGGUUCCUCGGCACUGUUUAUCAGCCGAGGGUUAGCCGGUCCUAAGGUCAUUCUUAACCGAAAUGAUCGAAAGGGAAUAGCGUUAAUAUUCGUUAGCCCCUUGUACAACAAUGGCGACGGCUUGGGCAAAGCAUUCAGAUCAUAUGCCAGGUCUGUCUGUACUAAAUUUCUGGAGAACUGUCACAGUGAGAAGGAAAUAAAGUCCCAGGUCCCAUGAAAAGCCGUACAAGGUGACCGUACCGAGAACUGAAACAGGUGUUUUAGGGUGAGUAGCCUAAGGCGUAUCGGAUACAAAUAUCGCGAGGGAACUCGGCAAAAUAGCUCCGUAACUUCGGGAGAAGGAGUGCCAGAUUGGGAACAAUCUGGUCGCAGUGACUAGGGAGCUCCGACUGUUUAAUAAAAACAUAGGGGACUGCCAGAUCGAAAGGUUGUGUAUAGUCCCUGAAUCCUGCUCAGUGCUGGUAUCUUAAAUCGGGUUUCAACCUGACGAAGGACCAGUAAACAGCGGGGGUAACUAUGACCCUCUUAAGGUAGCGUAAUACCUUGUCGCUUAAUUGGCGACUUGCAUGAAUGGUCCAACGAGGGCUCCACUGUCCCCGCGAUAUGUCCGGCGAAAUUGACUUUACUGGCGCACAGUCCAGUACAUUCUACCCGCAAGCGAAGACCCCAUAGAGCUUUACUGCAGCCUGUCGUUGCAUAGUCGCUUUCCAUGUACUGUGUAGGUGGGAGACGUUGAUCCCGAGGACGCUAGUCCUCGGAGUAGUCGAAAAGAGAGACACCACCCUUGGAAGGUAACUAUGCUAACUCUUUAUGAGGACACCGAUUGGUGGGCAGUUUGGGUGGGGCGCCACGCGCUCGAAAACCUAACAAGCGUGCCCAAAGGUCAGCUUAGGUGGUUCAGCACUCCACCGAUAACUGUAAGGGGAAAAGCUGGCUUGACGUGGAUCCGCACAAUAAGGAUCGACGAUGCGAAAGCAGGGCCUAACGAACCUACCAGCCUUAUUUCUGAGGGCGGUAGAUAACAGAAAAGUUACCUUGGGGAUAAUUGAGUUGUCACCAGCAAGAGCUCACAUCGACCUGGUGGCUUGCUACUUCGAUGUCGUCUCUUCCUAUCCUGGGUCUGCAGCAGGACCCAAGGGUGGGGUUGUUCGCCCAUUAAAAGGGAUCGUGAGAUGGGUUUAGACCGUCGUGAGACAGGUUUGUUGCUUGGUGGUAGAAUCGCAUAAGGUGUCUGAUGGAAGGGGCCCUUUAGUACGAGAGGAACGAGGGCUCGGGGCCACUAGUUUACCAGUUGUCUGACAAGGCAAUGCUGGGUAGCCACGCCCUGAAGGAUAAGAGCUGAAAGCAUCUAAGCUCGAAGCCACCCCAUAGACGAGACACCUCAGAACGCUCGUAAAAGACGAGAUGAUAGACUGCGGAUGUAAGCACGAAGCUUCGGCGACGUGUUCAGUCCAGCAGCACUAAUGUUCGAGCAUCUUUUUC